UAAGGAAUAUUGGUCAAUGGACGGAAGUCUGAACCAGCCAUGCCGCGUGGAGGAUGAAGGUCCUCUGGAUUGUAAACUUCUUUUAUAGGGGGCGAAAAAAGGGAAUUCUUUCUCGUCUGACGGUACCCUAUGAAUAAGCACCGGCUAACUCCGUGCCAGCAGCCGCGGUAAUACGGAGGGUGCAAGCGUUAUCCGGAUUCACUGGGUUUAAAGGGAGCGUAGGCGGGCAUUUAAGUCCGUGGUGAAAGCC
rnacentral:rRNA from 1 species